GGGGACCGAACCCAGGGCCUUGCGGUUGCUAGGCAAGCGCUCUACCUCGGAGCCAAAUCCCCAACCCCUCUGUCUCCAAUUCUUAGCAGGAGCUUUGGAAUCACAGAUGCACACUACACAUUCUAGCUUUGCGUAGCUUCUGGAAUUCAGGUUCUCCUGUUUUCAGAGCAAGAGGAUUCUAGGCCAUGUCGCCUCGUGCACAACAUAGCACAGCACCAAAACCAAGAGCAAUCCUCACUCGACAAGGUGGAAGAUGGGAACGGUUUCCCCAGGUGUUCUCUGGCACCAACCUGCGGUGGCCUAUCCUGGUAGUCACGUGAAUAAACAUUUUUGUUG